CAGGUCUGCUGUGGGCCUUUCCCAGGCGUGGCUGAGACUUUCAGGCGCCACGGGCUUCCCCCCGGGCAGGAUGUUGGCGUUUGGAGUUGUUGUGGUGCAGGUGAUGAAGGCAAAUGUGGUGAGCAAAGGAAGAUCAGUGUGGAUGCGGCUGCUGCUGAGGAUGGCUCUUGAGGACCGGUGACCUACAGCACUGCCACAGUUAAGUUGAGGGGCAAAGGGUGUUGGGGCAUCCUCAGUUUCUGUGUGUG